GACGAACGCUGGCGGCGUGCUUAACACAUGCAAGUCGAACGAAGAGCGAUGGAAGCUUGCUUCUAUCAAUUUUAGUGGCGAACGGGUGAGUAACGCGUAAUCCACCUGUCCUUCAGAGGGGGACAACAGUUGGACACGACUGCUAAUACCGCAUACGAUCUAAUCUCGGCAUUGAGGAUAGAUGAACGGUGGCCUCUACAUGUAAGCUAUCACUGAAGGAGGGGAUUGCGUCUGAUUAGCUAGCUGGUGGGGUAACGGCCCACCAAAGCGAUGAUCAGUAGCCCGUCUGAGGAGAUGAACGGCCACAUUUGGACUGAGACACGGCCCAGACUCCUACGGGAGGCAGCAGUGGGGAAUCUUCCGCAAUGGACGGAAGUCUGACGGAGCAACGCCGCGUGAGUGAUGACGGCCUUCGGGUUGUAAAGCUCUGUUAAUCGGGACGAAAGACCUUCUUGCGAAUAGUGAGAAGUAUUGACGGUACCGGAAUAGAAAGCCACGGCUAUCUACGUG
rnacentral:rRNA from 1 species